rnacentral:rRNA from 1 species
UCGAGCGAGAAGUAGAAGGUGAGUCUUCGGACAAGUUGACUACUGGAGAGCGGCGGACGGGUGAGUAACGCGUGGGUAACCUACCUCAGACAACGGGAUAACGCAUUGAAAAGUGUGCUAAUACCGUAUAAGACCACACUAUGGCAUCAUAGAGUGGUAAAAACUCCGGUGGUAAGAGAUGGACCCGCGUCUGAUUAGCUAGUAGGUAGUGUAAUGGACUACCUAGGCGACGAUCAGUAGCCGGCCUGAGAGGGUGAACGGCCACAUUGGGACUGAGACACGGCCCAAACUCCUACGGGAGGCAGCAGUGGGGAAUAUUGCACAAUGGGCGAAAGCCUGAUGCAGCAACGCCGCGUGAAGGAAGAAGGUUUUCGGAUCGUAAACUUCUAUCAGCAAGGAAGAUAAUGACGGUACUUGACUAAGAAGCCCCGGCUAACUACGUGCCAGCAGCCGCGGUAAUACGUAGGGGGCAAGCGUUAUCCGGAAUUACUGGGUGUAAAGGGUGCGUAGACGGUAAUGUAAGUCAGGUGUGAAAGCCCGAAGCUCAACUUCGGGAUUGCACUUGAAACUACAUAACUAGAGUACAGGAGAGGAAAGUGGAAUUCCUAGUGUAGCGGUGAAAUGCGUAGAUAUUAGGAGGAACACCAGUGGCGAAGGCGACUUUCUGGACUGUAACUGACGUUGAGGCACGAAAGCGUGGGGAGCGAACAGGAUUAGAUACCCUGGUAGUCCACGCCGUANACGAUGAAUACUAGGUGUCGGCCCNUCAAGGGUCGGUGCCGCAGCUAACGCAUUAAGUAUUCCACCUGGGGAGUACGAUCGCAAGAUUGAAACUCAAAGGAAUUGACGGGGGCC